GACGAACGCUGGCGGCGUGCUUAACACAUGCAAGUCGAACGGUAAGGCCCCAGCUUGCUGGGGUGGAUCAGUGGCGAACGGGUGAGUAACACGUGAGCAACCUGCCCCUGACUCUGGAAUAAGCGCUGGAAACGGCGGCUAAUACCGGAUACGAGCUGGUGCCGCAUGGGCGCGUUUUGGAAGGUUUGGCGGUUGGGGAUGGACUCGCGGCCUAUCAGCUUGUUGGUGGGGUAGUGGCUCACCAAGGCGUUGACGGGUAGCCGGCCUGAGAGGGCGACCGGCCACACUGGGACUGAGACACGGCCCAGACUCCUACGGGAGGCAGCAGUGGGGAAUAUUGCACAAUGGGCGGAAGCCUGAUGCAGCAACGCCGCGUGCGGGAUGACGGCCUUCGGGUUGUAAACCGCUUUCAGCAGGGAAGAAGCGAAAGUGACGGUACUGGCUGAAGAAGCACCGGCUAACUACGUG
rnacentral:rRNA from 1 species